UACGUAGGGUGCGAGCGUUGUCCGGAAUUACUGGGCGUAAAGAGCUCGUAGGUGGUUUGUCGCGUUGUCCGUGAAAACUCACAACUCAAUUGUGGGCGUGCGGGCGAUACGGGCAGACUGGAGUACUGCAGGGGAGACUGGAAUUCCUGGUGUAGCGGUGGAAUGCGCAGAUAUCAAGAGGAACACCUGAGGUGAAGACGGGUUGCUGGGCCGACACUGACGCUGAGUGCGCGAAAGCCAGGGGAGCAAACGGG
rnacentral:rRNA from 1 species